rnacentral:rRNA from 1 species
AACGAACGCUGGCGGCGCGUCUUAAGCAUGCAAGUCGAACGGCAAGAGAGGAGCUUGCUUCUCUCCUAGAGUGGCGGACUGGUGAGGAACACGUGGGUAAUCUACCCUUAAGAUGGGGAUAGCUGCUAGAAAUAGCAGGUAAUACCGAAUACACUCGGCAUAUCACAAGAGGUGUUGAGGAAAGGAAGCUACGGCUUCGCUUGAGGAUGAGCUUGCGUCCCAUUAGCUAGUUGGUGAGGUAAAGGCCCACCAAGGCGACGAUGAGUAUCCGGCCUGAGAGGGUGAACGGACACAUUGGGACUGAGAUACGGCCCAAACUCCUACGGGAGGCAGCAGCUAAGAAUAUUCCGCAAUGGACGGAAGUCUGACGGAGCGACGCCGCGUGGAUGAAGAAGGCUGAAAAGUUGUAAAAUCCUUUUGUUGAUGAAGAAUAAGGGUGAGAGGGAAUGCUCAUCUGAUGACGGUAAUCGACGAAUAAGCCCCGGCUAAUUACGUG